UGCGUGCUUGUGGCCAAGGGAAGGAAGAGCUCCUUCCUCCCCGCCCCUUCCUUUUUGUUUGCAGGUCCCAGAAUCUGUGUUCACAGACAUCUGGGGGAAGAAAAGGAGCAGGAAACUACCCCGCACAGAGUUAAGCAGGAAACAACAACAACAUCAUGCAAAAACCCUGCAAAGAAAACGAAGGAAAGCCAAAGUGCAGCGUGCCAAAGAGGGAGGAAAAACGCCCGUAUGGAGAAUUUGAACGCCAGCAAACAGAAGGGAAUUUUAGACAGAGGCUGCUUCAGUCUCUCGAAGAAUUUAAAGAGGACAUAGACUAUAGGCAUUUUAAAGAUGAAGAAAUGACAAGGGAGGGAGAUGAGAUGGAAAGGUGUUUGGAAGAGAUAAGGGGUCUGAGAAAGAAAUUUAGGGCUCUGCAUUCUAACCAUAGGCAUUCUCGGGACCGUCCUUAUCCCAUUUAAUUAAUUUCUCUGACAAUUCAAUUAUUUUCUGUUAUUAAUGUUGCCACUGCUUUCUGUUUGUCUGCACUUUCUUGAUAAAUAUUUGCUAUCGUUUUAC
rnacentral:lncRNA from 1 species